CCCUUCCCCCACCUCCUGCAAAAGCCCCCAACAGCCGCGCUCCCUUUAAAGAGCCGCGCAGAGUGGGGGCUUUUGCGGGAGGUGGGGGAAGC
rnacentral:miRNA from 1 species